GGGCCUGUAGCUCAGACGGAUAGAGCAGCGGUUUCCUAAACCGCGUGCCACUGGUUCGACUCCAGUCGGGGCCACCA
rnacentral:tRNA from 1 species